rnacentral:rRNA from 1 species
UGGGGAAUUUUGGACAAUGGGCGAAAGCCUGAUCCAGCAAUGCCGCGUGUGUGAAGAAGGCCUUCGGGUUGUAAAGCACUUUUGUCCGGAAAGAAAUCCUUGGCUCUAAUACAGUCGGGGGAUGACGGUACCGGAAGAAUAAGCACCGGCUAACUACGUGCCAGCAGCCGCGGUAAUACGUAGGGUGCAAGCGUUAAUCGGAAUUACUGGGCGUAAAGCGUGCGCAGGCGGUUUGCUAAGACCGAUGUGAAAUCCCCGGGCUCAACCUGGGAACUGCAUUGGUGACUGGCAGGCUAGAGUAUGGCAGAGGGGGGUAGAAUUCCACGUGUAGCAGUGAAAUGCGUAGAGAUGUGGAGGAAUACCGAUGGCGAAGGCAGCCCCCUGGGCCAAAUACUGACGCUCAUGCACGAAAGCGUGGGGAGCAAAACAGGAUUAGAUACCCUGGUAGUCCACGCCCUAAACGAUGUCAACUAGUUGUUGGGGGAUUCAUUUCCUUAGUAACGUAGCUAACGCGUGAAGUUGACCGCCUGGGGAGUACGGUCGCAAGAUUAAAACUUAAAGGAAUUGACGGGGUCAUAGCUGUUUCCU